GGGAUUUUUUUUUUUUUUUUUUUUUGCUGGGGACCUUUAAAAAGGGCUCUAGGUAGUUGUGAGUAGCUGGUUAAUCCAGAGCCACGUGGGACUUGCCAGCCCAAACAGACCCUGGGGCUGUGAGACUUUGAAACCUUAUGGGGUGAGAAAGGACUGAGGUCUGGGGAAGAGUUUGAAUCAAACAGUACUGGCUGAGUCCACUGGAACCUUUUGAGCAGAAGGGGAUGCUGUGAUGGGCUGCCCUGGAGCUCUGCCAGCUACUCCAGGGGAGGGACCUGCUCUGUGAAGACUUUCCUCCUUCUUUCUGUCAGAGGCAUCUUGAUAGGGAAGCUGAAGCAUGGGGGAAUAGCUUUUCUUUGUGGAACAACCCUGCUGUGUGCUUCUUUGUCCCUAUCCUUGCCUCUCCAUAGAAGACAGGCUGUGUGUGGACCACGUGCGUCUGUCGGACCACGGGAACUCUCCUGCUGUUUUAACUGUUUGUGGCUAAGAGUCCCUGAAAAAUCUUCAGCAGAAACAUGGAUGAAGUGCUCCUGGUGCAGUCUUUUACUCUCCUGUGUAGCUUUUUAUGAUAAAACAACUGUUUUAAGGAUGACCAUAGGAAAAUGUCUUGUUGCAAGUGCAAGCACCAAUUCCCUGCAUGGAGGAGAAGGACUUCUGCAGCCAAUUGCUGAUGGUUAAUAAGAGCUGGGUGCUGUCAACAUCAGUUUGUUACAUUGCUUUCAAGUGUGGGAGCGUACCUAUGAGUCUGUAUUCCUGUGCAGUCUUUUGGAGAUUACUUGC
rnacentral:lncRNA from 1 species